GAGUUUGAUCUUGGCUCAGAUUGAACGCUGGCGGCAGGCCUAACACAUGCAAGUCGAGCGGAUGACGGGAGCUUGCUCCUUGAUUCAGCGGCGGACGGGUGAGUAAUGCCUAGGAAUCUGCCUGGUAGUGGGGGACAACGUUUCGAAAGGAACGCUAAUACCGCAUACGUCCUACGGGAGAAAGCAGGGGACCUUCGGGCCUUGCGCUAUCAGAUGAGCCUAGGUCGGAUUAGCUAGUUGGUGGGGUAAUGGCUCACCAAGGCGACGAUCCGUAACUGGUCUGAGAGGAUGAUCAGUCACACUGGAACUGAGACACGGUCCAGACUCCUACGGGAGGCAGCAGUGGGGAAUAUUGGACAAUGGGCGAAAGCCUGAUCCAGCCAUGCCGCGUGUGUGAAGAAGGUCUUCGGAUUGUAAAGCACUUUAAGUUGGGAGGAAGGGCAGUAAGUUAAUACCUUGCUGUUUUGACGUUACCGACAGAAUAAG
rnacentral:rRNA from 1 species